rnacentral:rRNA from 1 species
GCAUAUCAAUAAGCGGAGGAAAAGAAACCAACAGGGAUUGCCCCAGUAACGGCGAGUGAAGCGGCAACAGCUCAAAUUUGAAAUCUGGCCCCAGGCCCGAGUUGUAAUUUGCAGAGGAUGCUUUUGGCGCGGUGCCUUCCGAGUUCCCUGGAACGGGACGCCAUAGAGGGUGAGAGCCCCGUACGGUUGGACACCAAGCCUUUGUAAAGCUCCUUCGACGAGUCGAGUAGUUUGGGAAUGCUGCUCUAAAUGGGAGGUACAUUUCUUCUAAAGCUAAAUAUUGGCCAGAGACCGAUAGCGCACAAGUAGAGUGAUCGAAAGAUGAAAAGCACUUUGAAAAGAGGGUUAAACAGCACGUGAAAUUGUUAAAAGGGAAGCGCUUGUGACCAGACUUGCGUCCGGUGAAUCACCCAGCUCUCGCGGCUGGGGCACUUCGCCGGCACAGGCCAGCAUCAGCUUGCCGUCGGGGACAAAAGCUUCAGGAACGUGGGCUCCUCUCGGGGAGUGUUAUAGCCUGUUGCAUAAUACCCUUCGGCGGGCUGAGGUACGCGCUCCGCAAGGAUGCUGGCGUAAUGGUCAUCAGCGACCCGUCUUGAAACACGGACCAAGGAGUCAACCUUAUGUGCGAGUGUUUGGGUGUUAAACCCCUACGCGUAAUGAAAGUGAACGCAGGUGAGAGCUUCGGCGCAUCAUCGACCGAUCCUGAUGUUCUCGGAUGGAUUUGAGUAAGAGCAUAUAGGGUUGGACCCGAAAGAAGGUGAACUAUGCGUGUGUAGGGUGAAGCCAGAGGAAACUCUGGUGGAGGCUCGCAGCGGUUCUGACGUGCAAAUCGAUCGUCAAACAUGCGCAUGGGGGCGAAAGACUAA